AGCUUUGUGCAGUGGCAGUAUCGUAGCCAAUGAGGUUUAUCCGAGGCGCGAUUAUUGCUAAUUGAAAAAAAAAAAAAAGAAUCAAGAUUGUUCAGAGAUGUUAUAAAAUAUGAAAUUAUAAUAAUUAUUAAAUU
rnacentral:snRNA from 1 species